rnacentral:lncRNA from 1 species
UGGGCAGGCAUGAAUUAUGAAACCACUCACGUAGGUUGAGAGGUUGCCCUGAGCGCAGGGAGAGUUGCCACUGGUGUCUGUCCAAAGUGGGAUAUGAACAGCACUCAAUGAUUUUAUGGAAAGAGUGGGAAGAUGUUUUGGCAUUAGACUCUAAGGAACUGGAACCACAUUUGCAGAAUUGAUAACAGAUGCUGGAAGUUGGAGCUGCUGCCUAUUAUUCUCUUGGAUUAAAACAGAGAGCCCCAGAGAGAAUUAAGCUUCAUCCCUGCCACCAACAAUGCCUCAUGCAUGAAGCAGAUGUUCACAUCAGCUGCACAGGCAGUCAAUCGAAUAACAAUAGCAUCAUUAUUGAAAGAUCACUGGGACACACCAUCCUCCAAGUUCUUCACGUGCACAGCCAAUUUCAGCCUCACGACAGUCCACGGGAUUGGUUCUUCAUAAUCGCUGCUUAACAUGUGAGGAAUCUGAGUCUUGGAAGGUUGGGGAAUGUUUUUCAGGUCAGAUCUGGAAGACUGGGAGAYGGCCCAGGUUGGCAUUAUGCUUUCUACUCUACGAAUAAGAGAAGGUAUCUUCAUUCAAUUGAUUUAAUGGGAAAAAAGGAUGUACAAUUUUGUGUGUGGGGGG